UACGUAGGGUGCAAGCGUUGUCCGGAAUUACUGGGCGUAAAGGGCUCGUAGGCGGCCAACUAAGUCGGAUGUGAAAUCCCCAGGCUUAACCUGGGAACUGCAUCCGAUACUGGAUGGCUUGAAUCCGGGAGAGGGAUGCAGAAUUCCAGGUGUAGCGGUGAAAUGCGUAGAGAUGUGGAGGAAUACCGAUGGCGAAGGCAGCCUCCUGGGCCAACACUGACGCUCAUGCACGAAAGCGUGGGGAGCAAACAGG
rnacentral:rRNA from 1 species